CAGUCGCCGCGGUAAUGCGUAGGGUGCAAGCGUUAAUCGGAAUUACUGGGCGUAAAGCGUGCGCAGGCGGUUCUAUAAGACAGAUGUGAAAUCCCCGGGCUCAACCUGGGAACUGCAUUUGUGACUGUAGAGCUGGAGUGCGGCAGAGGGGGAUGGAAUUCCGCGUGUAGCAGUGAAAUGCGUAGAUAUGCGGAGGAACACCGAUGGCGAAGGCAAUCCCCUGGGCCUGCACUGACGCUCAUGCACGAAAGCUAGGGGAGCAAAUGGGAUUAGAUACCCCAGUAGUCCCUGUCUCUUAUAU
rnacentral:rRNA from 1 species